UACGUAGGGGGCAAGCGUUGUCCGGAUUCAUUGGGCGUAAAGAGCGUGUAGGCGGCCAGGUAGGUCGGUUGUGAAAACUCGAGGCUUAACCUCGAGAUGUCGGCGGAAACCAUCUGGCUAGAGUCCGGAAGAGGAGAGUGGAAUUCCUGGUGUAGCGGUGAAAUGCGCAGAUAUCAGGAGGAACACCGGUGGCGAAGGCGGGUCUCUGGGCCGAUACUGACGCUGAGGAGCGAAAGCGUGGGGAGCGAACAGG
rnacentral:rRNA from 1 species